rnacentral:lncRNA from 1 species
GACCUGGCCUACUCAGGACAAGCAUCUGUGACUGAGCACAGUGAAACAUCUCAUGAGUCAAUUUGGGAAUGGAACUGUAGCGGAGAAGAGGGUUCCCAAGAAUUGUUUCGGCAGAUUUAGUACUGCAGCGUCUAAUUGUUGUACCAGUUUUCUGGCUCCCAGCCCAUCUAAACAUACAGGUAACAAUUUGGUGAGCCAGCCUAAACCAGGAGUGAAGGUUUUACACUGAAAUGUGAGUCCUUGACCUGGGAGAACUGAAAUACAGAUGUAAUUUCCAUUCUGUCGUCCUGGCUAGGAAAUGGACUAACCUACAGCUGGUAAGGAGAAAUGGGCAGGUGGGGAUAGUAAUGUCCAAAACUCCUGCAGCUAAAUAUGAUAUAGCUAAUCUGUCGGAGUCCUAAAUCCUCAGCUGAAGCCGUCACAGAGAGGCAGCCUGUGCAAAACACUCUGGUCAGAACCAAGGAAAAGUUGGGGUUACUCUAUGCAGUCCAGUCAGCCACAUUUCAAAUUUAUUAAGGCAAGUAGAUCAUCAAAGGAGCCAAAUCUUAUUUUUUUUGGGAUGGCAAAAGGAUUAGAAAAGGAUGCAAAAGGGGACCUAAAACUUUGAACCCUUCACCAGGAAGACACAACUAGAAAUUCACUUAUCUGCCUGACCAGUAUGGUCAUAUUGCUUUGAUAUCUGAAACCAGGCAAAAAACAAAUAUGUAACAUGAUAAAUAGCUGGAUUUUUUAAAACUUCCUGAUGCUGAAAGAUGCCAGUUUGUUCAUGAAAGUUAUCUGCCUUAUGCUACCUUCUAACAUGUCAGUUUUCCCUCCAGAUGAAAGAACAAGUGAACUAGAACAGAGGGAAGAGUUUCACAGCUCUUGAAAUCCAAUAUCUCUUACUUUAUAUUGCUAGUUUGGGGUGGAGAAAAUUAAGUGGUUCAAUUUACAAUUAUAAUUUCUCCUUAAUUAUGCCUUUCCUCCACAGUUCUUACAUACAACAUAUAUCUUUCACAGAAACCUAAAGAGUAUUGCACAGUCUAGCUCUAGUAUUGCUGCCACUUGUUUUGACAGAUUGAUCAAAAUAAAUACAGAGAACAGAAAAAGGCGGUGAGUUUU